rnacentral:rRNA from 1 species
GAUGAACGCUGGCGGCGUGCCUAAUACAUGCAAGUCGAGCGAACAGACGAGGAGCUUGCUCCUCUGACGUUAGCGGCGGACGGGUGAGUAACACGUGGAUAACCUACCUAUAAGUCUGGGAUAACUUCGGGAAACCGGAGCUAAUACCGGAUAAUAUAUUGAACCGCAUGGUUCCAUAGUUAAAGACGGUUUUGCUGUCACUUAUAGAUGGAUCCGCGCCGCAUUAGCUAGUUGGUAAGGUAACGGCUUACCAAGGCAACGAUGCGUAGCCGACCUGAGAGGGUGAUCGGCCACACUGGAACUGAGACACGGUCCAGACUCCUACGGGAGGCAGCAGUAGGGAAUCUUCCGCAAUGGGCGAAAGCCUGACGGAGCAACGCCGCGUGAGUGAUGAAGGUCUUCGGAUCGUAAAACUCUGUUAUUAGGGAAGAACAAAUGUGUAAGUAACUAUGCACGUCUUGACGGUACCUAAUCAGAAAGCCACGGCUAACUACGUG